rnacentral:rRNA from 1 species
CAAGGCAACGAUGCAUAGCCGACCUGAGAGGGUGAUCGGCCACACUGGAACUGAGACACGGUCCAGACUCCUACGGGAGGCAGCAGUAGGGAAUCUUCCGCAAUGGGCGAAAGCCUGACGGAGCAACGCCGCGUGAGUGAUGAAGGUCUUCGGAUCGUAAAACUCUGUUAUUAGGGAAGAACAUAUGUGUAAGUAACUGUGCACAUCUUGACGGUACCUAAUCAGAAAGCCACGGCUAACUACGUGCCAGCAGCCGCGGUAAUACGUAGGUGGCAAGCGUUAUCCGGAAUUAUUGGGCGUAAAGCGCGCGUAGGCGGUUUUUUAAGUCUGAUGUGAAAGCCCACGGCUCAACCGUGGAGGGUCAUUGGAAACUGGAAAACUUGAGUGCAGAAGAGGAAAGUGGAAUUCCAUGUGUAGCGGUGAAAUGCGCAGAGAUAUGGAGGAACACCAGUGGCGAAGGCGACUUUCUGGUCUGUAACUGACGCUGAUGUGCGAAAGCGUGGGGAUCAAACAGGAUUAGAUACCCUGGUAGUCCACGCCGUAAACGAUG